GGGGUUGACUUGCUUGAUCAUUUGUGGCGUGAAACUCGACCAAAGUGAUUUAAGGACGCAGAUUAAUUAGAUUAAUCAACCGAGAGUUGCAAAACUGUUGUUGCAAUUGGCUUAGAGGCCUACUAAGUAAUAUUAUUGCAGUCAUCAGCCCAAGCAGAGGCUGCAUAAUAUUGACUUAGAUCUCGAACCACUAAGAUUUAUAUGGAUUAUAAAUUCGUGUUUUACGUUGGG
rnacentral:lncRNA from 1 species